UUACCCUACGGGAGGCAGCAGUAGGGAAUCUUCCACAAUGGACGAAAGUCUGAUGGAGCAACGCCGCGUGAGUGAAGAAGGGUUUCGGCUCGUAAAGCUCUUUUGGUAGUGAAGAAAGAUAGAGGUAGUAACUUGCCUUUUUUUUACUGUAAUUACUUCGAAAGUCACGGCUAACUACGUUCCAGCAGCCGCGGUAAUACGUAGGUGGCCAGCGUUUUCCGGAUUUAUUUGGCGUAAAGCGAGUGC
rnacentral:rRNA from 1 species